rnacentral:rRNA from 1 species
AACGAACGCUGGCGGCAGGCUUAACACAUGCAAGUCGAACGGCUGUAGCAAUACAGCAGUGGCAGACGGGUGAGUAACACGUGGGAACCUUCCUAGGGGUACGGAACAACUCAGGGAAACUUGAGCUAAUACCGUAUACGUCCGUAAGGAGAAAGAUUCAUCGCCCCUAGACGGGCCCGCGUCGGAUUAGGUAGUUGGUGGGGUAACGGCCUACCAAGCCUACGAUCCGUAGCUGAUCUGAGAGGAUGAUCAGCCACACUGGGACUGAGACACGGCCAGACUCCUACGGAGGCAGCAGUGGGAAUCUUGGACAAUGGGCGCAAGCCUGAUCCAGCCAUG